GUGAGGAAUUUUCCGCAAUGGGCGAAAGCCUGACGGAGCAAUGCCGCGUGAAGGAUGAAGGCCUAUGGGUUGUAAACUUCUUUUCUUAGAGAAGAAUAUUGACGGUAUCUGAGGAAUAAGCAUCGGCUAACUCUGUGCCAGCAGCCGCGGUAAGACAGAGGAUGCAAGCGUUAUCCGGCAUGAUUGGGCGUAAAGCGUCUGUAGGUGUCUUCAAAAGUCUCCUGUCAAAGAUCAGGGCUUAACCCUGGGCCGGCAGGAGAAACUCUGAGGCUAGAGUUUGGUAGGGGCAGAGGGAAUUCCCGGUGGAGCGGUGAAAUGCGUAGAGAUCGGGAGGAACACCAAAGGCGAAAGCACUCUGCUGGGCCACAACUGACACUGAGAGACGAAAGCGAGGGGAGCAAAAGGGAUUAGAAACCCUGGUAGUCC
rnacentral:rRNA from 1 species